rnacentral:rRNA from 1 species
AAACUUCGCAAUGUGCGCAAGCACGACGAGGGAAUCCUAAGUGCCCAUGCUUUGCAUAGGCUGUUCUCCUGUCUAAAUAACAGUGGUUAGCAAGGGCCGGGCAAGACCGGUGCCAGCCGCCGCGGUAACACCGGCGGCCCGAGUGGUAACCGUCUUUAUUGGGUUUAAAGGGUCCGUAGCCGGCUUAUUAAGUCUUUUGGGAAAUCUGGCGGCUCAAUCGUCAGGCGUCCAAGAGAUACUGGUAGGCUUGGGACCGGGAGAGGUGGGAGGUACUCCAGGGGUAG